GACGAACGCUGGCGGCGUGCUUAACACAUGCAAGUCGAACGGAAAGGCCCUGCUUUCGUGGGGUGCUCGAGUGGCGAACGGGUGAGUAACACGUGAGUAACCUGCCCUUGACUUUGGGAUAACUUCAGGAAACUGGGGCUAAUACCGGAUAGGAGCUCCUGCUGCAUGGUGGGGGUUGGAAAGUUUCGGUGGUUGGGGAUGGACUCGCGGCUUAUCAGCUUGUUGGUGGGGUAGUGGCUUACCAAGGCUUUGACGGGUAGCCGGCCUGGGAGGGUGACCGGCCACCUUGGGACUGAGAUACGGCCCAGACUCCUACGGGGGGCAGCAGUGGGGAAUAUUGCCCAAUGGGCGGAAGCCUGAUGCAGCAACGCCGCGUGCGGGAUGACGGCCUUCGGGUUGUAAACCGCUUUCGCCUGUGACGAAGCGUGAGUGACGGUAAUGGGUAAAGAAGCACCGGCUAACUACGUG
rnacentral:rRNA from 1 species